AAUGGUGUGUCUGUAUAUCGUUACAUCAAUUCAACCAAGAAUCCUGUUGCUUACAUUACUCGUGCAACCACAAAACUUGGAACAAAGCCAGCUCCCUUCAUGACAGCUUUUUCAUCAAAGGGACCCAAUAAAGUAACCCCAGAGAUACUUAAGCCUGAUAUCAUAGCUCCAGGAGUGAGUGUU